rnacentral:snoRNA from 1 species
GUUUAUGAUGAUCAUUUUUAUCACGACGGUCAACUGUUUGUUCCCUAACUUGUUUGGUCUGGGAAUGUUGAUGAUAUUUGCCUGUGACAGGGCACUUAGACUGAUU